UGUCAACAAGUCAUUGAUCAAUGUAAACCAUAUGUGAACAAACCAGGAGCCGCCCUUCUUAUAUUAAGAUAAGCAUCAAAUGACCCUCACCUACACAAUCUACGGUGUAAGCAAUCAUGCCGAGAGCUGUAAGAACCUCUUGACACAAAAUCAUUAUUGCCCGUUUGAUUAGCGAGAUUCUCGGCUGCUGAGAUGGGGAUUGAAGGAACUGGCAAAAGUCUACAUUAUUACUGUUAAGAUGGAAGGAGUGUGGCAGUGCUAGAGGCUGAACUACAAAACGGAAGUAGGAAAAUGUGGCUUAUCCUAACCUUAGUCAUCUUCCCAUUUAACGCCUCUGCAAAACGACCAACUUCGGACUUCAGAAGAAUGACAGAUCACUGCGUAGGCAACGACGUGGAAUUGUAUUAGGUGUCGAUGCUAACGAUGUGUGGGGAAAUACAACUACACUACACUUCUGCACAGCUUCCUUGCCUUGGGUCUCAUGCCGAGUACAAUUACUUAGUGGUCGCUCUCCUACUUUCCAUGGAAAUUUAAAAUACAGAUGCGUUAAAACAUAGACCCUUUUUCCAUAUUAUUAUCAGGGAAACUGCCUGUUACAUUUUUUACAAAUAUUUACAAAUAAAUUUUCUAUAAACAAC